GGAUUCCCCUAGUAACGGCGAGUGAACCGGGAAGAGCUCAAAUUUGAAAUCUGGCGUGCUCAGUGCGUCCGAGUUGUAAUCUAUAGAGGCGUUUUCCGUGCCGGACUGUGUCUAAGUCCCUUGGAACAGGGUAUCAAAGAGGGUGAUAAUCCCGUACUUGACACAAUGACCGGUGCUCUGUGAUACGUCUUCUACGAGUCGAGUUGUUUGGGAAUGCAGCUCAAAAUGGGUGGUGAGUUCCAUCUAAAGCUAAAUAUUGGCGAGAGACCGAUAGCGAACAAGUACCGUGAGGGAAAGAUGAAAAGCACUUUGGAAAGAGAGUUAAACAGUACGUGAAAUUGUUGAAAGGGAAACGAUUGAAGUCAGUCGUGACUGAGAGGCUCAGCCGGUUCUGCCGGUGUAUUCCCCUCAGUCGGGUCAACAUCAGUUUUGUUCGGUGGAUAAGGGCAGCUGGAAGGUGGCACCUCCGGGUGUGUUAUAGCCAGCUGUCGCAUACAUCGAAUGAGACUGAGGAAUGCAGCUCGCCUUUAUGGCCGGGGUUCGCCCACGUCCGAGCUUAGGAUGUUGACAUAAUGGCUU
rnacentral:rRNA from 1 species